rnacentral:rRNA from 1 species
CAGACGGGUGAGUAACGCGUGGGAAUCUACCUUGUAGUGAGGAAUAACCAUUGGAAACGGUGGCUAAUACCGCAUACGCUCUACGGAGGAAAGCGGGGGAUCUUCGGACCUCGUGCUACUAGAUGGGCCUAUAUUGGAUUAGCUAGUUGGUAAGGUAAAGGCUUACCAAGGCGACGAUCCAUAGCUGGUUUGAGAGAAUGAUCAGCCACACUGGGACUGAGACACGGCCCAG